UACGGAGGGUGCAAGCGUUAAUCGGAAUUACUGGGCGUAAAGGGUGCGUAGGCGGUCGUUUAAGUCUGUUGUGAAAUCCCCGGGCUCAACCUGGGAAUGGCAAUGGAUACUGGGCAGCUAGAGUGUGUCAGAGGAUGGUGGAAUUCCCGGUGUAGCGGUGAAAUGCGUAGAGAUCCGGAAGAACACCGGUGGCGAAGGCGGUGAGCUGGGCAGUUGCUGACACUGAGGCGCGACAGCGUGGGGAGCAAACAGG
rnacentral:rRNA from 1 species